rnacentral:lncRNA from 1 species
ACCUAACAAUGUCAAGGCAGAGAAAGAAGCUUCUGGGCAGUAAGUGUGUGAAUGAUGAAAGGAAGAUGAAUGGGAGGUACGAAGGUGGGAAAAACAGACUGAAGUAGCUUGUCACUUCUACCUAGGACCAGUCUUGCUUUUAAGUAUAAUGAAUACCAAGAUUUAUCAGUGACGAAAUUGGACACACUCGAUUUUCCUCCCACUGGUAAUAUUCGCAGUCAGCAUAAAUAGACUUUCUCAGCACAGUUUUCAACUCCCGGCACAACAGUAUCCUUCUUCCAAACUAUAGCAUAAAUCACAGAAAAGUAUCUCCUCAUUUGUUUGGGAUGAGUUUUAAUUCAGAAACAAUUUAUAGUAAUAUUCUAAGAGACUGACUGAAUUUGCUUUCCCAACUGAAAAAGGAAUCAACUAUUUGUUAUUAUUUAACGAAGCUUUGAAACAUGAGGAAGUCAAUUAUUCUUCAGUGCAGUGAUGUACAAAGGGGACUCCUGCAUUUUCCCUGUUCCCUGAAGAGAUUAAGAACUUCAGAGUGGAGACAAACGGGAAAAAAUAUUGUUUGUGGAACCUUGCCUAGGCUUGAUGAGAAGGAGGAAAGAGCUCUUACAGCUAAAACUAAUCAGUAACUGUGGUUUCUCCAAACAUGGAAGAAUUUUCCAUCAACAGUCACAAUGGGGACUGUCUAGUUGGACCAUCAUGGAAGAUGGAUUUCUCAUUUAACAGCUGCAAUAAUAACGUACAAAUAAAUCUACUGAUCAAUAAGGGAUGUACUUUC